CCUACGGGGGGCUGCAGUGGGGAAUAUUGGGCAAUGGGCGCAAGCCUGACCCAGCAACGCCGCGUGAAGGAAGAAGGCUUUCGGGUUGUAAACUUCUUUUGUCAGGGACGAAGCACGUGACGGUACCUGACGCAUAAGCCACGGCUAACUACGUGCCAGCAGCCGCGGUAAUACGGAGGUGGCAAGCGUUAUCCGGAUUUACUGGGUGUAAAGGGCGUGUAGGCGGGGAAGCAAGUCAGAUGUGAAAACCACGGGCUCAACCUGUGGCCUGCAUUUGAAACUGUUUUUCUUGAGUGCUGGAGAGGCAAUCGGAAUUCCGGGUGUAGCGGUGAAAUGCGUAGAUAUACGGAGGAACACCAGUGGCGAAGGCGGAUUGCUGGACAGUAACUGACGCUGAGGCGCGAAAGCGUGGGGAGCAAACAGGAUUAGAUACCCGUGUAGUC
rnacentral:rRNA from 1 species